UACGUAGGGUGCAAGCGUUGUCCGGAAUUAUUGGGCGUAAAGGGCUCGUAGGCGGUCCAUCGCGUCGGGAGUGAAAAGCUGGGGCUUAACCCCAGUCCUGCUUCCGAUACGGGUGGACUAGAGGUAGGUAGGGGAGAUCGGAAUUCCCGGUGUAGCGGUGAAAUGCGCAGAUAUCGGGAAGAACACCCGUGGCGAAGGCGGCUCUCUGGGACGGUACUGACGCUGAGACGCGAAAGCGUGGGGAGCGAACAGG
rnacentral:rRNA from 1 species